rnacentral:rRNA from 1 species
UACUGGGGUGCAGCAGGCGCCAAAACUUCGCACURCKCGAAAGCGCGUCGAGGGAAUCCCAAGUGUAUGCACGUAAGUGUAUACUGUUUUUCUGUCUAAAAAGCAGAGAGAGUAAGAGCUGGGUAAGACGGGUGCCAGCCGCCGCGGUAAUACCUGCAGCUCGAGUGGUGAUCGUUAUUAUUGGGCCUAAAACGUCCGUAGCCGGUCUUGUAAAUGCCUGGGUAAAUCGUAUGGCUUAACCAUACGAAUUCUGGGUAGACUGUUAGACUUGAGACCGGGAGAAGCUAGAGGUACUCCUGGGGUAGAGGUGAAAUUCUGUAAUCCUAGGGGGACCACCAGUGGCGAAGGCGUCUAGCUAGAACGGGUCUGACGGUGAGGGACGAAGCCCUGGGGCGCAAACGGGAUUARAUACCCCGGUAGUCCAGGGUGUAAACGCUGCUUGCUUGAUGUUAGUCGAGCUCCGAGCUCGAUUAGUGUCGGAGAGAAGUUGUUAAGCAAGCUGCCUGGGAAGUACGGCCGCAAGACUGAAACUUAA